GGGUCGUUAGCUCAGUUGGUAGAGCACUUGACUUUUAAUCAAUUGGUCGCAGGUUCGAAUCCUGCACGACCCACCA
rnacentral:tRNA from 2 species